rnacentral:rRNA from 1 species
UACGUAGGGCGCGAGCGUUGUCCGGAUUUAUUGGGCGUAAAGAGCUCGUAGGCGGCUUGUUACGUCGACUGUGAAAACCCACGGCUCAACCGUGUGGUCUGCAGUCGAUACGGGCAGGCUAGAAUUCGGUAGGGGAGACUGGAAUUCCUGGUGUAGCGGUGAAAUGCGCAGAUAUCAGGAGGAACACCGGUGGCGAAGGCGGGUCUCUGGGCCGAUAUUGACGCUGAGGAGCGAAAGCGUGGGGAGCGAACAGG